AGCGUAGGCGGACAUUUAAGUCAGGGGUGAAAUCCCGGGGCUCAACCUCGGAAUUGCCUUUGAUACUGGGUGUCUUGAGUAUGAGAGAGGUGUGUGGAACUCCGAGUGUAGAGGUGAAAUUCGUAGAUAUUCGGAAGAACACCAGUGGCGAAGGCGACACACUGGCUCAUUACUGACGCUGAGGCUCGAAAGCGUGGGGAGCAAACGA
rnacentral:rRNA from 1 species